rnacentral:rRNA from 1 species
GGAAUAUUGGUCAAUGGACGAGAGUCUGAACCAGCCAAGUAGCGUGAAGGAUGACUGCCCUAUGGGUUGUAAACUUCUUUUAUACGGGAAUAAAGUGGAGUAUGCAUACUCCUUUGUAUGUACCGUAUGAAUAAGGAUCGGCUAACUCCGUGCCAGCAGCCGCGGUAAUACGGAGGAUCCGAGCGUUAUCCGGAUUUAUUGGGUUUAAAGGGAGCGUAGGCGGGUGCUUAAGUCAGUUGUGAAGGUUUGCGGCUCAACCGUAAAAUUGCAGUUGAUACUGGGCGCCUUGAGUGCAGCAUAGGUAGGCGGAAUUCGUGGUGUAGCGGUGAAAUGCUUAGAUAUCACGAAGAACUCCGAUUGCGAAGGCAGCUUACUGGACUGUAACUGACGCUGAUGCUCGAAAGUGUGGGUAUCAAACA